rnacentral:rRNA from 1 species
ACUCCUACGGGAGGCAGCAGUGGGGAAUAUUGGUCAAUGGACGCAAGUCUGAACCAGCCAUCCCGCGUGCAGGAAGACGGCCCUAUGGGUUGUAAACUGCUUUUAUACAGGAAGAAACCCCUUCUCGUGAGAAGGGCUGACGGUACUGUAGGAAUAAGCACCGGCUAACUCCGUGCCAGCAGCCGCGGUAAUACGGAGGGGUGCAAGCGUUAUCCGGAUUUAUUGGGGUUUAAAGGGUCCGCAGGCGGAUCGGUAAGUCAGUGGUGAAAGCCUUCAGCUUAACUGGAGAACUGCCAUUGAUACUGCCGAUCUUGAGUCCGGCUGAAGUAGGCGGAAUGUGUGGUGUAGCGGUGAAAUGCAUAGAUAUCACACAGAACACCGAUUGCGAAGGCAGCUUACUAAACCGGUACUGACGCUCAGGGACGAAAGCGUGGGGAGCGAACAGGAUUAGAUACCCUGGUAGCACAGAG